rnacentral:rRNA from 1 species
AGUGAACGCUGGCGGUAGGCCUAACACAUGCAAGUCGAACGGCAGCACAGUAAGAGCUUGCUCUUACGGGUGGCGAGUGGCGGACGGGUGAGGAAUACAUCGGAAUCUACUUUUUCGUGGGGGAUAACGUAGGGAAACUUACGCUAAUACCGCAUACGACCUACGGGUGAAAGCAGGGGAUCUUUGGACCUUGCGGGAUUGAAUGAGCCGAUGUCGGAUUAGCUAGUUGGCGGGGUAAAGGCCCACCAAGGCGACGAUCCGUAGCUGGUCUGAGAGGAUGAUCAGCCACACUGGAACUGAGACACGGUCCAGACUCCUACGGGAGGCAGCAGUGGGGAAUAUUGGACAAUGGGCGCAAGCCUGAUCCAGCCAUACCGCGUGGGUGAAGAAGGCCUUCGGGUUGUAAAGCCCUUUUGUUGGGAAAGAAAAGCAGCAGGUUAAUACCCCGCUGUUCUGACGGUACCCAAAGAAUAAGCACCGGCUAACUUCGUG